UACGUAGGGGGCAAGCGUUGUCCGGAAUCAUUGGGCGUAAAGAGCUCGUAGGCGGCUUGUCACGUCGGGUGUGAAAGCCCGGGGCUUAACCCCGGGUCUGCAUUCGAUACGGGCUAGCUAGAGUGUGGUAGGGGAGAUCGGAAUUCCUGGUGUAGCGGUGAAAUGCGCAGAUAUCAGGAGGAACACCGGUGGCGAAGGCGGGUCUCUGGGCCGAUACUGACGCUGAGGAGCGAAAGCGUGGGGAGCGAACAGG
rnacentral:rRNA from 1 species